rnacentral:rRNA from 1 species
AGAGUUUGAUCCUGGCUCAGAUUGAACGCUGGCGGCAUGCCUUACACAUGCAAGUCGAACGGCAGCACGGGAGCAAUCCUGGUGGCGAGUGGCGAACGGGUGAGUAAUAUAUCGGAACGYGCCCAGUCGUGGGGGAUAACGUAGCGAAAGCUACGCUAAUACCGCAUACGAUCUAUGGAUGAAAGCGGGGGAUCGCAAGACCUCGCGCGAUUGGAGCGGCCGAUAUCAGAUUAGGUAGUUGGUGGGGUAAAGGCCCACCAAGCCGACGAUCUGUAGCUGGUCUGAGAGGACGACCAGCCACACUGGGACUGAGACACGGCCCAGACUCCUACGGGAGGCAGCAGUGGGGAAUUUUGGACAAUGGGCGCAAGCCUGAUCCAGCAAUGCCGCGUGCAGGAUGAAGGCCUUCGGGUUGUAAACUGCUUUUGUACGGAGCGAAAAGGCUUCCACUAAUACUGGAGGCUCAUGACGGUACCGUAAGAAUAAGCACCGGCUAACUACGUGCCAGCAGCCGCGGUAAUA